ensembl:misc_RNA Metazoa_SRP Metazoan signal recognition particle RNA
GUUGGGCAUGGUGGCGCGUGCCUGUAAUCCCAGCUACUUGGGAGGCUGAGACAUGAGAAUCACUUGAACCCAGGAGGCAGAGGGUUCAGUGAGCCGAGAUUGCAUCACAGCACUCCAGCCUGGGUGAAAGAGUGAGACCCUGUCUCAA